AACUCUUAACAAUGGAUGUCUUGGUUCUCGCACCGAUGAAGAACGCAGCGAAAUGCG
rnacentral:rRNA from 1 species